rnacentral:rRNA from 1 species
CAGUCGCGCGGUAAUACGGAGGGAGCUAGCGUUGUUCGGAAUUACUGGGCGUAAAGCGCGCGUAGGCGGUUACUCAAGUCAGAGGUGAAAGCCCGGGGCUCAACCCCGGAACUGCCUUUGAAACUAGGUGACUAGAAUCUUGGAGAGGUCAGUGGAAUUCCGAGUGUAGAGGUGAAAUUCGUAGAUAUUCGGAAGAACACCAGUGGCGAAGGCGACUGACUGGACAAGUAUUGACGCUGAGGUGCGAAAGCGUGGGGAGCAAACAGGAUUAGAUACCCCAGUAGUCCCUGUCUCUUAUACA